rnacentral:tRNA from 1 species
AAGGUAAACUUCGAGACUUCUAAUCUCUUUCUUCCACCCGGAUUACCUUU